UACGUAGGGUGCGAGCGUUAAUCGGAAUUACUGGGCGUAAAGCGUGCGCAGGCGGUGAUGUAAGGCCGAUGUGAAAUCCCCGGGCUUAACCUGGGAACUGCAUUGGUGACUGCAUUGCUGGAGUGUGGCAGAGGGGGGUGGAAUUCCACGUGUAGCAGUGAAAUGCGUAGAGAUGUGGAGGAACACCGAUGGCGAAGGCAGCCCCCUGGGCCAAUACUGACGCUCAUGCACGAAAGCGUGGGGAGCAAACAGG
rnacentral:rRNA from 1 species